rnacentral:lncRNA from 10 species
CGCCUCCCGCCCACGGCUCGGCCUCCCUCCCGCCUGGCUCGGCGCUCCUCCGCCCCGAGUUCUCCAUCCCCUGGAUCCCGGGCUCGCGGGGGCGCGGAGAAGAGGAUCCAGGAAAGGGGCAAACAUGGGACCCAGGCCUGGCCCACUGGACCAUCCCUUGGCCACGAUGAUUGGCUUAGGGGAGGUCAUGUGAUCCAACUUAAGCCAGUGAAACUCAGCUCUGGAGCUUCUGUUGAAACUAUAGCUGAAAGACCAGCUUGUCAGUCCUGGUAGCCGUUUUUGCCAUAUUUGCUAUCCUGAGAGGGGAAUUUGCAUGAGAAUGAAGUUGUUCCAGAAGAAAGCAUACAUGAGAGAUGGAGAAGUUGAGAAAUCUGCCCCUGCAUAAUUCAGUUAAAAUUGGCCUGCAAAACAUCUGCUAAUUAUUUACCAAAGCUGAAUCUAUGCAAACUCUACAAUCCAGCAAUUCCACUCCUGGUGUUACCAGUGGAGGGUCUUGACUACAAGUCAUCCAAAUUCUUGGCGUUUUGAACAAAAAAUUGGACAAAAUGCACAAAGAAAGCAAUGAAGGAAUGAAGCAACGGAAGCACAGAUAUAUGUAAACAAAAAUUCACUCCACAGAGUAGGAGCUGGCUCGACCAAGUGGCUCAAGAGCGUUGGUUACAGAAUUUUCUGGAGUUUAAAAUACCCUCCAGAGUUUCCCAUUGGUUACUUGGUUACACCCUGUGUAAAUGAAGACUUGGCCUGCAACCAGUCUGAUUGGUCACAAGAAGUGACCAAUCAGAGGGUGAAGUCAAGUUACAAAGUUAAACAUGAAGACUUGGCCCCAUGACCAGCCUGAAUGAUUGCGGGAGGGGACCAAUUAUAGGUACUCUUCAUUUUUCAUCUGCAAGGCAGUGCAAAGGGAGUAGCCUCUUAUCCUUUUGUUACUUGCGUGUAGAAAGGUGGGGUUUUCCUUUGGAUUCAGUUCUAGGAAGUCAGCACAAAUCAGCCUUAGGUUUCCUGUCUCCAGACCCUAUUCUGCCUCACUGAGUAAAUACCAAAUAGAAAUGAGCAUGUGUUCAUCUAAAGGAGACCUUCAGAGUGGUGCUUACAGCCCCAAAUCAGAAACAAUGCAAAGGCCCUGGGCUGGGAAGUGAAUUAUGGUAGAGUCACAUGGUGGACUACUGCGCUGCAAUGAGAAGGAGCAAUCUUCAGACCAAUCCAGGGACAUGAAAGGAUCUCACACCCAUUAUACUGACUGAGCAGAAAGGGUAGGACAAAGUAGGACAUACAUAUAUCCUGUAUGAUUUGAUGCUUAUGAUGUUUAAAAACAGGCUAACUCUAACCGUAACCCUCUGCUCAUUAAUGCUUUUUGUUUGUUUGUUUAUUUGAGACAGG